GCUGACAGAUCUAGAGAUAGGUCGUCUCUUCGGAGCAGCGGUGACAGGUGGUGCAUGGUUGUCGUCAGCUCGUGUCGUGAGAUGUUGGGUUAAGUCCCGCAACGAGCGCAACCCUUGAACUGUGUUGCCAGCAUUCAGUUGGGCACUCACAGUUGACUGCCGGUGACAAACCGGAGGAAGGCGGGGAUGACGUCAAAUCAUCAUGCCCCUUAUGUCUUGGGCUACACACGUGCUACAAUGGGCGGUACAACGGGAAGCGAAGGAGCGAUCUGGAGCCAAACCCUGAAAGCCGUUCGUAGUUCGGAUUGCAGGCUGCAACUCGCCUGCAUGAAGCCGGAAUUGCUAGUAAUCGCGGAUCAGCAUGCCGCGGUGAAUACGUUCCCGGGCCUUGUACACACCGCCCGUCACACCACGAGAGUUGGUAACACCCGAAGUCGGUGAGGUAACCUUUUGGAGCCAGCCGCCGAAGGUGGGAUCGAUGAUUGGGGUGAAGUCGUAACAAGGUAAGCGUAGCGAG
rnacentral:rRNA from 1 species